GACGAACGCUGGCGGCGUGCUUAACACAUGCCAGUCGAACGGUAAGGCCCCAGCUUGCUGGGGUACACGAGUGGCGAACGGGUGAGUAACACGUGGGUGACCUGCCCUGCACUUCGGGAUAAGCCUGGGAAACUGGGUCUAAUACCGGAUAGGACCUUGGUGUGGAUACUGUGGUGGAAAGUUUUUUCGGUGUGGGAUGGGCCCGCGGCCUAUCAGCUUGUUGGUGGGGUAAUGGCCUACCAAGGCGGCGACGGGUAGCCGGCCUGAGAGGGUGGACGGCCACAUUGGGACUGAGACACGGCCCAGACUCCUACGGGAGGCAGCAGUGGGGAAUAUUGCACAAUGGGCGGAAGCCUGAUGCAGCGACGCCGCGUGGGGGAUGACGGCCUUCGGGUUGUAAACUCCUUUCACCAUCGACGAAGGGUUUCUGACGGUAGAUGGAGAAGAAGCACCGGCUAACUACGUG
rnacentral:rRNA from 1 species